AACGAACGCUGGCGGCAUGCCUAACACAUGCAAGUCGAACGAGACCUUCGGGUCUAGUGGCGCACGGGUGCGUAACGCGUGGGAACCUGCCCUUAGGUUCGGAAUAACUCCCCGAAAGGGGUGCUAAUACCGGAUAAUGUCUUCGGACCAAACAUUUAUCGCCUUUGGAUGGGCCCGCGUUGGAUUAGCUAGUUGGUAGGGUAAAAGCCUACCAAGGCGACGAUCCAUAGCUGGUCUGAGAGGAUGAUCAGCCACACUGGGACUGAGACACGGCCCAGACUCCUACGGGAGGCAGCAGUGGGGAAUAUUGGACAAUGGGCGAAAGCCUGAUCCAGCAAUGCCGCGUGAGUGAUGAAGGCCUUAGGGUUGUAAAGCUCUUUUAACCGGGAUGAUAAUGACAGUACCGGGAGAAUAAGCUCCGGCUAACUCCGUG
rnacentral:rRNA from 1 species